rnacentral:rRNA from 1 species
UAACACAUGCAAGUCGAGGGGCAGCAUGGUCUUAGCUUGCUAAGGCUGAUGGCGACCGGCGCACGGGUGAGUAACACGUAUCCAACCUGCCGUCUACUCUUGGCCAGCCUUCUGAAAGGAAGAUUAAUCCAGGAUGGGAUCAUGAGUUCACAUGUCCGCAUGAUUAAAGGUAUUUUCCGGUAGACGAUGGGGAUGCGUUCCAUUAGAUAGUAGGCGGGGUAACGGCCCACCUAGUCAACGAUGGAUAGGGGUUCUGAGAGGAAGGUCCCCCACAUUGGAACUGAGACACGGUCCAAACUCCUACGGGAGGCAGCAGUGAGGAAUAUUGGUCAAUGGGCGAUGGCCUGAACCAGCCAAGUAGCGUGAAGGAUGACUGCCCUAUGGGUUGUAAACUUCUUUUAUAAAGGAAUAAAGUCGGGUAUGCAUACCCGUUUGCAUGUACUUUAUGAAUAAGGAUCGGCUAACUCCGUGCCAGCAGCCGCGGUAAUACGGAGGAUCCGAGCGUUAUCCGGAUUUAUUGGGUUUAAAGGGAGCGUAGGUGGACAUGUAAGUCAGUUGUGAAAGUUUGCGGCUCAACCGUAAAAUUGCAGUUGAUACUGCGUGUCUUGAGUACAGUAGAGGUGGGCGGAAUUCGUGGUGUAGCGGUGAAAUGCUUAGAUAUCACGAA